UACGUAGGGACCAAGCGUUGUUCGGAUUUACUGGGCUUAAAGCGUGUGUAGGCGGAUCGUUAAGUACCUUGUGAAAUCCCACGGCUCAACCGUGGAACUGCUGGGUAUACUGGCGAUCUUGAGCCACCUAGGGGCGAGCGGAACAAGCGGUGGAGCGGUGAAAUGCGUAGAUAUCGCUUGGAACGCCAAUGGUGAAAACAGCUCGCUGGGGGUGUGCUGACGCUGAGACACGAAAGCCAGGGGAGCGAACGGG
rnacentral:rRNA from 1 species